GGAACUGUGGCCGAGUUGGUCAAGGCGCCAGACUGAAAAUCUGGAUAUGCUGGUUCGAAUCCAGUCGGUUCCA
rnacentral:tRNA from 1 species